CCUACGGGCGGCAGCAGUGAGGAAUAUUGGUCAAUGGACGCAAGUCUGAACCAGCCAUGCCGCGUGCAGGAAGACGGCUCUAUGAGUUGUAAACUGCUUUUGUACGAGGGUAAACGCAGAUACGCGUAUCUGUCUGAAAGUAUCGUACGAAUAAGGAUCGGCUAACUCCGUGCCAGCAGCCGCGGUAAUACGGAGGAUUCAAGCUUUAUCCGGAUUUAUUGGGUUUAAAGGGUGCGUAGGCGGUCGGAUAAGUUAGAGGUGAAAUCCCGAGGCUCAACUUCGGAAUUGCCUCUGAUACUGUUCGGCGAGAGAGUAGUUGCGGUAGGCGGAAUGUAUGGUGUAGCGGUGAAAUGCUUAGAGAUCAUACAGAACACCGAUUGCGAAGGCAGCUUACCAAGCUACUUCUGACGUUGAGGCACGAAAGCGUGGGGAGCAAACAGGAUUAGAUACCCGAGUAGUC
rnacentral:rRNA from 1 species